rnacentral:ribozyme from 1 species
UCCAAAGAUUGAAAGAAAAAAAGAAACAAGAAGAAAGAAGAAA